GAAGUGAAGCUCUCCCCACUAAUUAGUUCUACAGGAGUCAGGGUCAAACAUGUCCACAUAUAUUUUAUUUAGGCAGAGGCACCCCCUGCCAUGCAACACUUUACAGAAGACAUAUUCACCUGCCCUUCCCAUUAUGUCAUAUGGCCUUUCUUUCCCAACAGACCUUGGGCUGUAGUUCUAAAUGUCUCUGAACAGGAACAGGAAGUGUCACCACAAUGGUAAACGUCCUAGCUGCCUAGGGGCCAAGACUACAAUGGAAUCCAUUGUGUUUGCUGUGGGGAGCAGAGACCUUAAUGUGAUCUGGGAGCAUGCUCAGUGCUUCUGAGAAAGAUUGGACUAUGGAGAGUCCUAGAAGACUGCCAUUUUUGUAAUUUGCACAACAUACUUGUUACUCGUUAUUGUUCAAAUAAGUUCAUGAUUUUAACAUUUGGCCAACCUUUUAUAAGUAGGCAGAUUUUGAUGGUGGAAACUUCCACCUACUUCAUUUCAGGAUUUCUUUGGAGCAGGGAGAGGCUGAUUUUUAAGGGGUGGCAUGUUCAGCUCUUGCGAGUCAUCCACCUCUUUUAUGCCCUUUCCAAGUAAGGGUUCAGAGCUGCAUUUCAUAAUUAAAACUUAAGUACCUGUUGUGUUUGGAAAGCCUACACGUGGCUUUUGAUAAACUGGUUAAUGAACAAUAAAGUUUAAUUGGGUGUAUUAUUGUGCAGUACACAUGAACAUCUAAAUGUAAGACUGAAAGCAGAGCGCAAUGAAUGCAAAAUAAUGCAUGAAAUUGAGUAACUUUGUUGCUGUUAAAAUACAGCUUUGUCACCACACCCAGCCACCCAGAACUCAACUUUUUCUAGCCGUUCAGUUCUCAUUAAGGAAGCAGUAAAGCAGGUUUUCUUCCCCUAUAGAUUAAAAAUAAAAACAUUUCCUGAGCAAUUCAAAAGAGAUUACUAGUGAAUGUAUAUAAAAGUGUGUGUGUGUGUGUAUAGUUAUAACACAGGAGUGAAGAACCUGUGACCCUCCACAUGUUUGGACUACAACUCCCAUCCUCCCUAACUACUGGCUCUGCUGGCUGGGGUUGAUGGCACUGAAGUCCAACAAUGUUUGGAGGUUAAUAGUUCCCCCAUCCCUAAUUUAAUUUUUUUAAGUGCAGUACCAAACAGUGUUUCUAGGACUUGUUUGCCAAGGUUGGAGUCUCUGGGGCUUGGGGUACAAACCUCUGGGUCUGAGACCCAACCUACAGAACUACCGUAGACUGUGUCUGCUUGAGUCAUAGAAGCAUAGCGUCCUUGAGUCAUUUUCAGGUGCAGAGGGGAACAGCAGUCCAGAACACCAGCCUCUGUGACUGGCCAAUAGUAGCCUCUGGAGAAGGCCAUGCCUGGUAUUAAAGGGCCUGGCUUUCUGUAUUUCCCUCAUCAACAGAGUAGUUGAUACCUUCGACUUGCUCCAUCCAUCUCAAUAAAUUUACCUCUUGGACUGAGGAACGGAGAACACGCCCUCUAGGUCUAAUUUUGAGUGAGACCUUCCCUCUGGGUCUAGCCUGACCUCAACACCUACUCCUUUCACUCCAGUUAAUGUUUCUUCCUUGUGUCCACCCAACAUAUUACUAAGUUUACCUUCACAGAUUUACACUUUACAUCCUUCUUCUUAAAUACAUGAGCAGCUCACAAAUUGUAUUUCACUAAGGUGCUCCAUAACAUGGGAGCUCCCAGUGAUCCAGAUCUGGACCACGCUGUGGCAUAUAUCUCCAAUACAUUACGCCUUGUUACUUAAAAUAAUUACAUAAUGAUUGAGGCUCAGGGUAGAUGUCAUUCUGGGAGAUGUGUGGUCGUCUCUUGUGUGUAUGUCUGUGUUUUAAAGGGUAAAUGCAGCUGUGGAGGGACUUGGCUCAGAAUGGGGCUGAAGCACAUCGGGAAAGUGGAUUUAAUAUUCUCCAUUUGCUCUCUUUUCCCAAUCUGAAUUCUACCCUCCCUCGCUGCAACAUGCUAUUUGCCAUAAAGGGAGAAAGCUACAGGUACCCAUUUGGAAACAGUCCCAUGAUAGAGCUGUAAUUGGGGGGAGGGGGUUGUUCAUUGAUUCAUCAAGUUCCAGUUUUGCAUUUUAAAUUUGAAUGAGAAACUUGUGAAAGUCAAAAUAUGCUCUAUGUAUUUAUUAUAUUUGCACCCUUUGCUAGCCUGUAGGAUCAGGGAAGAUUUUCACACUUUUUCCAAAUGCAAACACUUGCAUCGCCAGGUGACUUGUCCUGGCUUUGGCAAGAAGUCCACGGGGCCUGAUGGGGCAAGGAAGUAUGUAGGGAAGCUGCAAGUGAGUAACCUCCUCCAGUUUGGGAGUGGCCUUUUAUUCUUCCUGAGCCAGAUUGCUCCUCCCACACUCUUGCCCACUUCUUGGAGAGUGAAAGGCCUUAAAGGGGCAGAUUUGUGAUCUGAGCACUCUUCCUCCUCCCUGACAACUCCCUCCAGCUCGUUACCUGUGCUGACAGGAUGACUUGGGGUUGCAGAUCCCUGGCCAGGAGGAAUUCAGUACAUUGAAGAUUUUGGGGGGUUCAGAUUCUUGGUGGCCCACAGCUCAAGGGCUCCCAAGUCAGUGGGCUUUGUCCGUGUCAUGACAUCAGGUCCUGGGUUGCUUUCCAGAACGUCUUCCAUUGGUCUGAUGGAUCUGACCUGCCUCUUGUUUGCGUUGGAGCCCAGGCUGCUGCACAGGGAGGCAGCCCUGCCAAUCCUUAAACUACUUGGCAUUGUAUGAUUGUUCUGACUCCACACAGUGUAAAAUAAAAUGUUCACUUGUUUAGAUAUCUUUUUGUUCAUCUACCAAAUACCACUCAAUGCUAAAUACCAUUCCAUGCCAGCUGUCAAAUACUGUCAGGUAUCAGAUGUCAUAUAGCAUAUUCAGUUAAUGUUGGCAAAUGUGAACUUCUUCUAGUGAAUAUUUCACACUGGAGUUUGGCAAGGGGUAAUUUUUGGAAGCAGCUUUUGUUUCCAUUUCUAUCACGAUUUCCUUUUUUGCCUGAAAGAUGGCUGUGGAUGUGGUGCUCUCCAUGGUGCUGACUCUCCUGUCUUUUUAAGGUUGGCAGUCGCAGCAUGCAGAGCCACAGUUGUGCUCAUUGGCCAGGACUGGAGGAAUGCUGGGGUGAUAUUAUCAUAUUGCUCUCCCUCAGCUGGAUGGAACACCAGGGUGCUAUCAUCACUGUCCUUGACCCCCGCAAAGGCUAAAAGAGACAGAAGCUGUAGAGCAGUACAGAAAACAUGUGGGCUGAUAAUAUGAUUUAAAGUUCCAGUUGUAAAGGUUUUCACCUGCUGGAAACCUGGGAUCCCUGUCACUAAUGCAUGUUAGGGGGCACAUUUGGAAAGCGUUUAACUGAUAUUGCAAAAAGUUCGCUCAACCAUACUUCACCCACUGUCCUUUUCUCCACGCUUUCUCUCUGUAGCAAGGAUCCUCAGGCUCUUCAAAUACUGUUAGAUUGCAUUAUCCCUGACCAUUGACCAUUCUAGCUGAGGCAGAUGGAAGCUGGGGUCAAACAAUAUCUGCAAGCCCACAUGUUUCUCUUUUCUCUGUGUCAAACUUUGGAAAGAGAUGCUUUUCUUCAAUGUACACCCGAGCUUUAAUGAAAAAAAAAAUAUUCAUUUCUUCUCCAAUGGAUCUUAUGCUUAUGUGACAAUAUAAAAUGGUUAUUUAGCUGGAAUUUUAUGCCCUUGGUUGGAGAAUGGGGGGAAAACCCCCUCAGCUAUCCAUUCUCUCCCCCCCCCAUUUCCAUUUGGCACACAUACAUUAGAUCGAUCUGUGUCCCAGACAGCUCUUUCUAAUUGGGUCUCUGCUUCCAUUUCUUAUUAUUAUACUUUUAGCAGAAUUGAAACUAGGGAGGUGGGGGUGGUCUGUCAAGACUCAUUCAGUCAAAUAUAUCACUGUGCCAGGAGCCAACCUUGGUGUAUUCCCACCAAGUUAAACAUGCAGUGCUGAGCUGCACUGAGGUUU